GACAAUGCGACGCUGCGUGGAGGAUGAAGGCCUUCGGGUUGUAAACUCCUGUCAUAAGGGAACAGGCGAGGGUACCCAAUACGUACCUGAGUUGAGUGUACUUUAAGAGGAAGGGACGGCUAACUCUGUGCCAGCAGCCGCGGUAAUACAGAGGUCCCUAGCGUUGUUCGGAUUUACUGGGCGUAAAGGGCACGUAGGUGGCUAGGCGUGUCGAGUGUGAAAUCUCCGGGCUCAACCCGGAAAGUGCGCUCGAAACUACCUGGCUGGAGUCCGGGAGAGGGAAUCGGAAUACAGGGUGUAGCGGUGAAAUGCGUUGAUAUCCUGUAGAACACCGGAGGCGAAGGCGGAUUCCUGGAACGGUACUGACACUAAGGUGCGAAAGUCGGGGGAGCAAACAGGAUUAGAUACCCUGGUAGUCCCGACCUUAAACGGUGCAUACUCGCGGUUGGGGGAUUUCACCCCUCCAGUCGCUUAGCUAACGCGUUAAGUAUGCCGCCUGGGGAGUACGGCCGCAAGGCUAAAACUCAAAGAAAUUGACGGGGGCCCGCACAAGCAGAGGAGCAUGUGGCUUAAUUCGAUGCAACGCGAAGAACCUUACCUGGGCUUGACAUGGAGCUGCGCGGUCCGUGAAAGCGGACCUCCUUCGAGGGAGCUCCACAGGUGCUGCAUGGCUGUCGUCAGUUCGUGCCGUGAGGUGUUUGGUUAAGUCCACCAACGAACGCAACCCCUAUGACCCGUUGCCAUCAGGUAAAGCUGGGAACUCAGGUCACACUGCUGGUUUACGCCAGAGGAAGGUGGGGAUGACGUCAAGUCAGUAUGGCCCUUACAUCCAGGGCUGCACACGUGCUACAAUGGCAUAUACAGAGCGACGCGAGACCGCGAGGUGGAGCAAAUCGCACAGAGUAUGCCUCAGUUCGGAUUGGGGUCUGCAACCCGACCCCAUGAAGUCGGAUUUGCUAGUAACGGCGUAUCAGCUACGACGCCGUGAAUGCGUUCCCGGGCCUUGUACACACCGCCCGUCACAUCAUGAAAGCCGUCUGCACCCGAAGUCGGGCAUUUGUCCGCCUAAGGUGUGGGUGGUGAUUGGGAUGAAGUCGUAACAAGGUAACCGUUGGGGAACCAGCGGUUG
rnacentral:rRNA from 1 species